rnacentral:lncRNA from 1 species
UGUCACUCACUUCAUUGAAUCCUUGUAUGCUGGGCCAGAAAGAUUCAAAUCGAAACCCUCUGUAUGUCUUGAUGUUAUUUUCUGUAGUCAGUAGUAGGGGGCAGUGAUUUGAAACCAGGGAUGAGUCUGCUUGCAACAUGCAAUUCGGUAGCAUGCACUCUCACUCUCCGGAGCAAAAUACCCUAUGAAUUUUAGUGUGGGUCACAUUGUUAGUCCAUGUGAACUUUCUUCCUCUCAAAUGAAUCUCCUUUAAUUCCAUAUCCUCAACCAUUGUCCUGAAACCUCCCAUCACCCGCCUAUUGAUAUUGUCAUUGCUUUUAUCUUAUGCCUUUAGUAUCAUAUUGAAGUCCCCCAUUAGGAGCCACCUAUCUGAAUCAACCGGCUUGCAUGAUCUAAUCUCAUGCAGCAAUUUAAGUUUAUCAUCAUCAUUCUGUGGACCAUAUACCUUAGUUAACCACCAAGUGAUUGGUGCCAUCAAGGCCUCUAAUUUGGCCGUGACUAUGCUGAUUCUGUGCUCAGCUUGAGGCAAUCUGUAGUAAUCUUUGUGCACUGCCAGUAGAACCACUCCUCUGGUUGCUUGAGCCGGCAAAUAGGUGAAGCUUCUUGCAAUUGUGGUCCUAAAGUUUUCUUCACCACUAUCUCAUAUAUGGUUUCCAUCUUUAUUUCUUGCAGGCAGACAAUGGUGCAUCUAUGCUCAUCCACUAGAUCCUUUACCACUUUUCUUCUAACUUUUCCAUUUAAUCCCCUCACAUUCCAACUUAAGAUUGUACAUUUCUGCUCAUUCAUUUGUAACCUAUGUAUCUUCUCAGCCCAUUUUGAACCCCUUUGAUUUGCAACCACCUUCCACCAGUACCCCUGUGGCACCUUCCUCCAGCAUCUACCAUGUUACUCCCAACAAAACAUAACAAAACACUGGAAAAUAGACAGCCCACACUGGGCUCCCCCUCCCACCACAACAUCAUGAUAACAUAGAACGUCUUAGCACAUGCCCACACUAGACAGCACCAGAGACACCACACUAGACUACACAUAGGAACUGCGACAAACCCAUACACCCACACACCCCUUCCCAACAUAUGGUGGAUAUGGAAUUACUCAUCUGCCUCCAACGCCACCACGCUGAGAGGCC